ensembl:lncRNA
UGAACUUGGCUAGAGCAGAAGAUAGACACAUUCCUGGGAUAAGGCAAACUAAUCAGGGCCUAGGUAUUUCGAAAUCGUUCCUCAAAGCCCAGGACUUAGUAGGUGAAUAUUCCCUGGUUUUGAACAAGGUAGGUAGCUGUUGUAUUUCAGAUUGAGAGAGCAGAUGAGCCUUGUUAGUUGACUCUGGGCCACUUUAAAUGGAAGGUGUUCUUUCCUUCCUCUUUGCUGCCAAAGCAAUUCUUUCUGUCCUGUCUUAGGACCUUAGUUUGAAACCUACAAGGCAUGGUCCCCCUGGUGCUUUUUGGAGAAAUGUCUUCUAUUUUGUCAGUGCAGUUUACACACCCCAGUGACAGGAAGUAAGUUUGCCUUCAUACCAGUAAAAUCCACAUGUAAAGGAUGAUGAGUUCUCCGUGAGAGUAAACCUAUGAAGUGUCUGUAAAUUUGUUGCCCAAAUGGUUGAAGACACUCCAAGCACUAAUCAGAUGUCUGGGAGCAGUCUCAAGAAGAAAAGGCUGGAACGUGGUUGUAAUUUAGGUUAAGUGAUAAAGCAGUUUAGAGUCUAAACUGAGAGAAGGGGUUUGGCCAUCCUUGGAAGUAGAGCACUGGCCCUGGUACUACCUAAGGAAGGGCAGGCCUUAUCUGAGGGAACUUGAGCCCUGUGAUGGCCUUGAUCAAACUGCUCUUAUAGCAGGGAAGGGGGCCCUGCCAUAAAGAGAGAUGUGACUUUAGGUUGAUUACUUUUGUUCUCAGUUUCUGUUAACCAAGCACUCUUUAGCCCUUGAGGAAAAGAUCAGCCAGUCAGGCCAAUUCAAGCAUUCUAGUCCAUUAGAAUGUCCACAGUUCCUUGGUAUGAAUCAUUACAUUGGCAUUUGGUUUGUAUGCCCUGCAACCUCUGUGUGAACUUGGUUAAUAGGUGUUUCAGAGAUGGAUCCCUUUACAUGGGAUGGCUUAAAAGUGUAAGGCCCAGGUCUGGGUCUUGUUAAAUCAGCAAGAAAUUAAGUUGGGGAGGAGGGGCAGGAAGCUAGCUUUGCCAAGGAAAUACUACCCUUGUCUUAUUGUUGACCUUCCUUUUGCAAUCACGUUCAGGAAAAUUAUCAGCACAAGGCAGAAAGUGUUAAAUUCUAGAUGAGAGAUACAGGCAUCAAGUGCUAUGGAUUCCAAGGUGGGGGGAGAUUGCUGUGAGAGGUUAAAGAAAAGAUGGUGUCACAGAAGAGGUGGGUAGGAUUUGCCAAAUGGAUAGGAUUUCAGUAGAUGGAGAUGUUGGAGAUGGAGAAGAAAUAGCCUCUGCCAUUUCAGUGAAGUCCCUCUAGAGCUGAUGUAAAAUGUAUGGUCAUCUGAUUUCUGAGCUGUUAAGCCAAAGAAAAAACACUGUUGUGGCAGGAGAGGGAGUGGUAGGCCCCAGAGAAAAGGAAAGAAAAUGAACUGUUUAGUCAGCAGCUUGUUUAUUUAACAUGUCUUGAGUUUUUAGUAUGUGCCAGGCGCUGAGCUGUGUCCGGGGGAUAUAGAAAUGAACAAAACAAACAAAAGCCCUACCUUUCUCUCUAGUGAGGAGAAAGACUAUGGAAGGAAGGUGGGAAAGAAGAAGAGUUGGAUGAAGGGCUAUAUAGUAUGUCAGAUGUGCUGUGGAGAAAAUUAAAACAAGGGUUGGGGAAGUUGGAGGAUGUACUGAGGAUUUUUUUUCUUAAAAAGUUUUUUUUUCAUUUUCUUCUUUUAAAUGUUUAAUGAAUUAUGUACAAGCUAAUAUAAAGGUAAAAUAUAUGUGCAAGCUAAAGACUCGGAUCUGGGCCUUUGAUCAUUUUCUGUGAGAAGGGGGAGCUGACCAGGUUGUGACCCAGAAGAUAAAAUUUGUCUGUGAAUAUGACUCACUGCCUGGGGAACAGUAAGCCAUGAUGUAUGAAUGGAGCUCUUCUGAAAGCAAGAAAAACCAGGUGCAAUGAUAGAGGACAGAAUUGUACCCUAAACCUCUAAAUAUGAAUAUUAUGGUUCUAAGAAAAUAGGUGUUGACCUUGUGAGAUGUGA